AGCUGUGGCCGCACUCUGUGAUUACGGGUCUCGGCAGUACUGGAAGCAGAUGCAGCAGUGACUUCUUCCUUGGGUGGCGAGUGGAUCAGCAGCGGCCAUGGCAGGGGACGUCCUGGUUAAGAGGUGGGAAAGGCCUCAGGGUUGGCCACUCAGAAGCACAGCUCAACCAAAGAGAAGAGUCCUGACUGGGAUGAAGAGAAACGCUGUUGUCAGGCCUGCAGGCUGGAGCAGGGAGAGACCACUACCCCUGAGUCAUUAAUAUCCUCAUCCUUUCUUUUAACCAAGGUGUAUCUAUAUACAUAGAAAAAAAAGACUGGGGGAAAUACCAGAUGUGCAUGAUGGCUCACUGUAGGUGAUUUGAAUUUUUUUUCUUUUAAUACUCAAAUGUAUUUUUCAAAAUUUCCACAAAAAAUAUGUUCCUUUAA